GACGAACGCUGGCGGCGUGCUUAACACAUGCAAGUCGAACGAUGAACUUGGAGCUUGCUCUGGGGGAUUAGUGGCGAACAGGUGAGUAACACGUGAGUAACCUGCCCUGGACUCUGGGAUAACUUCGAGAAAUCGGAGCUAAUACCGGAUAGGACCUUGCACCGCAUGGUGUGGGGUGGAAAGUUUUUCGGUUUGGGAUGGACUCGCGGCCUAUCAGCUUGUUGGUGAGGUAAUGGCUCACCAAGGCGUCGACGGGUAGCCGGCCUGAGAGGGUGACCGGCCACACUGGGACUGAGACACGGCCCAGACGCCUACGGGAGGCAGCGGUGGGGAAUAUUGCGCAAGGGGCGCACGCCUGAUGCAGCAACGCCGCGUGCGGGAUGACGGCCUUCGGGUUGUAAACCGCUUUUAGUAGGGAAGAAGCCUUCGGGUGACGGUACCUGCAGCAAAAGGACCGGCUAAAUACGUGCCAGCCGCCGCGGUAAUAC
rnacentral:rRNA from 1 species